rnacentral:rRNA from 1 species
AUUGAACGCUGGCGGCAGGCCUAACACAUGCAAGUCGAGCGGAUGAAGGGAGCUUGCUCCUGGAUUCAGCGGCGGACGGGUGAGUAAUGCCUAGGAAUCUGCCUGGUAGUAGGGGAUAACGUCCGGAAACGGGCGCUAAUACCGCAUACGUCCUGAGGGAGAAAGUGGGGGAUCUUCGGACCUCACGCUAUCAGAUGUGCCUAGGUCGGAUUAGCUAGUUGGUGGGGUAAAGGCCUACCAAGGCGACGAUCCGUAACUGGUCUGAGAGGAUGAUCAGUCACAUGGACACGGAGACGGGGCCCAGCCUCCUGCGGGGGCAGGAGGGGGGGAAUUUGGGACAAGGGGAGAAGCCUGAACCCCGCAGUGCCGGGUGGGAAAAGAAGUUUUUGGAAUUGAAAACCUUUUUAGGGGGGGAGAAGGGAAAGUAAUUUAAUCCCUUGCUUUUUUGCCGUUACCAAAAAAAAAACCCCGGGCUACCUUCGUC